rnacentral:rRNA from 1 species
UACGUAGGGAGCAAGCGUUGUCCGGAAUCAUUGGGCGUAAAGCGCGCGUAGGCGGCCCCGUAAGUCCGCUGUGAAAGUCAAAGGCUCAACCUUUGAAAGCCGGUGGAUACUGUGGGGCUAGAGUACGGAAGAGGCGAGUGGAAUUCCUGGUGUAGCGGGUGGAAUGCGCAGAUAUCAGGAGGAACACCAAUAGCGAAGGCAGCUCGCUGGGACGUUACUGACGCUGGAGGCGCGAAAGCGUGGGGAGCGAACAG